AUUUAUAUCCACUGUCAGGAAAGAGCUUCAUGGGCAAAAUCCUCCUGGUUGGGAUGAACUGUAAGUUGGCAUCGUCACUACUGCUCCAAGCCUUCAGGUCUCCUGUCAUCAGGUAAAAAGAUUUUACAAAGACAUUUACUGAGCACUACAAUGUGCCAGGCACUACUAUGACCAACAACAACUUUGUGGACCCUAUAUUCUAGUGGGAGAGACAAACCCAAAGGGAAAAAAGUAGAGGGAGAGAGAGAGAGAGAAAGAGAAGACAGAUACGUAAAUACAGAUAAAGAAAUUGACCGUGUAAGUGAACCUAUAAAGAAAGCAAACCAGGGGAUGAUUUUAGAACUAUCACAGAGACUGAGGCACUUUAGGUAAGUGGUCAAGGAAGGCUUCCCUGAGUUGGUGAAAUGUAAGCUGAGAUGAGCAUCAGAAGAGUACAGCGAUGGAAAUAGCUAGGUAAGAACAAUUCAGGCAGAGCAGACGUGUACAAAUCCCUGAGGAGGAAAGAGCCUGACAUGCUUGAGGGCAUGAAAGGCUAUAAUGUGUAGAAAGCAAGGGCAGAUCAUUCAGUGGACCGUGGCAAGAGGUUUGGAUUUUAUUCUCAGUGCUAGGGGAAACCAUUGCAGGGCUCUGUAAGAGGAGGGGACAGUUUCUGUUUUAAAUGUUGUGAUCUAAAAUUAAUGACCACUCUGUCUUGAGUGGAGAAAAUGUAUUGUGGGGAGAUAGCGUACAAUGGGGAAGAUUAGUUAGAAGGAUGUUGCAGUAGUCCAAAUAUGGCAGAUUGAAGCUUCCUAAAUGGAUGCAACCAUAUCUUCCAUCCCACAUGCUUUGAUGCUCCUGGAGAGGUGGGGUCAAUGGUCCCUCCAGUUGAGUAGAAUACAGGUUGUGAUUGCUCCAACCAAUUUAGAGUGGUAGAAAUGAUGUUAUAACUUCUGAGGCAAUUAAAAGGAUACAGCAUCUUCCUAGCUCUCUCUCUUUGGGAGUACUCACUUUGUUUGAAGCUAGACACCAUGCUGUGAGGAAGCCCAAACUAUGUGUGACCCAUAUGGAUAUAAACUGAGACCUCCAUACCCAACCAGCAUCAACCACCAGAUGUGGAGUGAACCAGCCUCCAGAUGACUUCAGCCUUCAGCUUUCUAGUCCCCCAGUGGAAACCCAGAUGCCAUGAACAAAGACAAGCUGUCUUCCUUGUGCCCUGUCCGAAGUCAUGAUCUACAGAAUCUGAGCAAAGCACCAUGUUAUGGAGAAGGCCACGUGGCUGGAAAUGUCACCCAUCCUCUGGGAAGUAAGAACUGACAGCCAGCAGGAGGUGGCAACCUUAGUCAUACAACCUCAAGGAACUGAAGUCUGCUACAACCAUCGAGCUUGGAAGAGAGCCCAGUUUCCUCAACUGGGAUCCAGAGAAGUGAAAGGGUCAUCCAAAUAAGAGGAACAAAUUGCAAACAGGCAAUAGAACAUUGAUGAUAUUAGAGACAGAUCUCUAAAUGGAAAUGAAAGGAGUACAUCUGACACACUUACUAAAGGAUCCAGUCUUGAAGUUUUUUGGAGAACUUCUGUGCAUUUCUCACAGAAUGCCAGUUUGUUGACAAAGGCAUCAGGAAGUAAAAUAUUUGUGAGGUUGAAAAUACCCUGCCUCUACUGUUUUACUGAUUGUGAUGAAAAUGUACUUAAUUAACAUUUAAGAUUCUACAGACACUUCAACAAAUGUCUUUAGCACAAAAGUAUCUAUCUGCCUGGUGAUCUCACUGCCCUCUCCCCUACGUGGGACCUGACUCCCAGGGGUGUAAAUCUCCCUGGUAACGCAGGAUGUGACUCUCGGGGAUGAAUCUGAACCGGGCGUCGU